CCUACGGGAGGCAGCAGUAGGGAAUUUUCGUCAAUGGGCGCAAGCCUGAACGAGCGAUGCCGCGUGAGUGAAGAAGGCAUUCGGGUCGUAAAGCUCUGUUGCGGGGGAAAAAAGGCAGCAUCAGGAAAUGGGUGCUGACUGAUGGUGCCCCGCCAGAAAGUCACGGCUAACUACGUGCCAGCAGCCGCGGUAAUACGUAGGUGGCGAGCGUUAUCCGGAAUGGUUGGGCGUAAAGGGUGCGCAGGCGGUCCUGCAAGUCUGGAGUGAAACGCAUGAGCUCAACCCAUGCAUGGCUUUGGAAACUGGAGGACUGGAGAGCAGGAGAGGGCGGUGGAACUCCAUGUGUAGCGGUAAAAUGCGUAGAUAUAUGGAAGAACACCAGUGGCGAAGGCGGCCGCCUGGCCUGUUGCUGACGUUGAGGCACGAAAGCGUGGGGAGCAAAUAGGAUUAGAUACCCCAGUAGUC
rnacentral:rRNA from 1 species